rnacentral:misc_RNA from 1 species
AAAUUGCGGCAUUAGGCUCUGCCUGAUGCCACGCCUAGCCGAGUGUCGGCAUUAAAUCUAUCACGACGCUUAAUUGGUCGUGGCUUAGUUUGUUGUCAGCCGUCGUGUUGUACUUGGCAACGUGUUGUUCAGUUGUCAAGUCGACGGUAUUAUUGACGCUUGCCAAAUGUAAUGGAGAGUUUGUAUAUGCGAAAUAUCUGCCGGUAGCCUGUUGGUGUUGGCUACGCUGCCCCGUGUAUGGUUUAUUUGCAUUUUUGUGCAUACCGAUGGGGGUGGUUAGCUUCUCGUCAUCAGUGCGUGUUUGCCGGUGGUGUCGUGGCGUGGGAAUUUCAAUAAGCAUUUCUGAAUGGUAAUUGUGAAAUUGUCAUUUUAUGUGCUGUUCUCUUGAGCCUUUUGGCCCACGGGUUGUGCGGUGACCAGUGUUGCUUUGAAUGCGUGCGCAUGCAUGCCAGGUCGCAGCCUAUUGUGAUCGCGACAGUGCUUUGCUUGUGUUCUGCGUUUAAUUUUUGUCACUGUUUCUUGCGUAUGAGCGAGUCUGGCCCGAGACGAGAUUAUGUGCCCAUGUCGUGCUGUGCAGACAUUACUACUCCAUUGGUCGCUAUGUGCWUAUCGGUGUCACCCGUAUUCUACUGUACUGCUGUGGUGUGUGCACCUGACCUCGGAUUAGGCGUGAUUACC